UAGUUUAUACACUCUGCAUAGGUUUGUGCACUUUUCCCACAACACUCGAUCGCCUCCCUUGAUUUUCGCACUACAUGAUGUUUGAGAAAUGGAUGAUCGAGACAUAGUCUUUCAGAAGCGUUUGCACCUUACGAUGUGAUAGACCGUACCACCUACAUCCCCUAUAUCUGCUAGUCUACCACUGUAAGAGUUCACACAACUUAAUCGACUAUCCUAGAGCCCAUAAUAGCAUGUGGUUGCACACGGAAGUUUCUAGCAUGAAUAAUCUCAUGAUCCCUUUGAACCUUGGUGGCGGUCCAAAAGAAAAACAGGCAAUCCUGGAAUACCCAGGUACCUCAAUCCACCCAGAUGUGAGUUUUAGUUGCCACCUUAAGUAAACCAUUAAUUAACAAUCUCACAUCUGUCGUGAAUAUCUCUCAAACCCAAUCCACGUCUACAAGCAUAACAUGGCAAUAUAAGCAACGUAGAAGUAACUCCCAAGGGUUUGAUAAUAAAAUAGGUAAUAGGUACUACCUCAACUACUUCCCAAUACCCACAAUUUAAUUAGAUCCUAACCAAUGCAAUGUUUGAGGAUUGAUCUAAUGCAAUAAAACUGGGUAGUGAAAAGUAUGAUCAAAGUGUUACUUGCCUUGCUGGUGAUCCGUGAAACCUAGAGAUUCGAAGUAGCAAGCGGCGCACUCCGGGUACUCUAUCGCGAACAAACAAGCAAACAAUAAGUACUCAUCUAAUGCACAAGUAAAACUCAAAUAAAGAUCUAACCAGAAAGUUCAACUUAAGAACUCCGGCUUGCAAAAAGAUUCAACUCAAACGAAGCAACGAAGGUCAAACGGCGAAAGAAACAAGCUUCGUUUACUAAUCUGGAUCUAAGUCAAAUUUUACAGUAGCAAAAACUUGUUUGAGUAGGUUAAACGGAAAGAGAAUUUCGAGAUGAAACUCUAGGCGCUUGAAUCGCUUGAUUCCGAUAAACGAGCGAAAAGUUAAACCAAAACGAAAAUCUGAUCAGAAAUCACGAUCUGGAAUAAUCGCGGAAAAUCCGACGAAAAGGAAAACUGACGAACAGUUAAACGAACGGACGUUCGUUAACAGCGUCAAACCGACGAACACGUUCAUUAAAACGAACGGAUCGGUGAACGUUCACUAAGUAAUAAACCGAAAAAAAUAAACCGAUCUAUAUAAAAAAACUAGGGUUAAAAAAAUAAACCGGGUCAUUUUUUUUUAGAAACUGGGCACGGCGACGGCGUGGCUACCUCGGCGAGCAGCUCCGGCGGGUCUUCCGGCGGAUCGGGCGAGGGGCGGCGAGGUGGCGGGGCUCGGGCGGCGACGACGGGCGGNNNNNNNNNNNNNNNNNNNNNNNNNNNNNNNNNNNNNNNNNNNNNNNNNNNNNNNNNNNNNNNNNNNNNNNNNNNNNNNNNNNNNNNNNNNNNNNNNNNNNNNNNNNNNNNNNNNNNNNNNNNNNNNNNNNNNNNNNNNNNNNNNNNNNNNNNNNNNNNNNNNNNNNNNNNNNNNNNNNNNNNNNNNNNNNNNNNNNNNNNNNNNNNNNNNNNNNNNNNNNNNNNNNNNNNNNNNNNNNNNNNNNNNNNNNNNNNNNNNNNNNNNNNNNNNNNNNNNNNNNNNNNNNNNNNNNNNNNNNNNNNNNNNNNNNNNNNNNNNNNNNNNNNNNNNNNNNNNNNNNNNNNNNNNNNNNNNNNNNNNNNNNNNNNNUAGGAGGGGGAGGGGGUGCCGUGGGGGAGGGGGCAAGGCGGCGGCGGGCGGCGUGCUCGAGCCCGACUCGGCGGCGGCGGGAGCCGUGCUCGGGAGGGAGACGGGCGCGGGGCAGGCUGGGCCGUCGGCUGGGGUUCGGCCCAGUCGGCGCGCUCGGCUUUUUUUUUUAAUUCACCGAAUCUAAAAAAAUCGCAGAAAAAUAAAUAAAAAAUCCAAAAAUGAUAAAACAAAUUUUUUCCGUCUAAUUAAAAUAAUUAGAACGAGGUGAACAUUUCCUUGGCCCAAAAAUGCAGUUUUUAAAACGUGCAAUUUUUUAAUGCAAUGAAAAUUGCAAAUAAAAUCCGAAUAAAAUCAAAUAUUUGAUUUUAAUAUUUUACCUCCAAUAUUUCAGUUAUUUUGGAGAAGUCAUAUUUUCUCCUCUCAUUUAUUUUAAUACGAAAUAUUUUUCGAGAGAAAAAUAAUUAAAACCAAAAUCCUCGUUUUAUUAUUUGAUAAAUAUCAAAUAUGAAAAACCGGGAAAAUCCCCAACUCUCUCUGAGGGUCCUUGAGUUGCUUAGGAUUUAUCGAGGAUUUGCCAAAACGCAAAUAAAUAUGCUAUGCAAUGAUGAUCUAGUGUAUAACAUUCCAAAUUGAAAAUUUGGGAUGUUACAAACCUACCCCCUUAAGAUGAAUCUCGCCCUCGAGAUUCGGGUUGGCUAGAAAAUAGGUGAGAGUGGUUCUUCCGUAGAUCUUCCUCUCGCUCCCAGGUGGCUUCAUCUUCAGUAUGGUGACUCCACUGGACUUUGCAAAACUUGAUAACCUUACUGCGGGUGACUCGGCUGGCAUACUCAAGAAUCUUAACUGGUUUCUCCUCAUAGAUCAAAUCACUUUCCAGCUGUAUCGCUUCCAGUGGCACUGUAUCUCUCAGUGGUAUCUCAGCCAUCUUUGCGUGGCACUUCUUCAACUGGGAAACGUGGAAUACAGCAUGAACUCCUGACAAUCCUUCAGGCAAUUCCAGCUUGUAGGCAACUUCUCCCAUACGCUCCAAAACUCUGUAUGGUCCUACAAAACGAGGCGCUAAAUUUCCCUUAACUCCAAAGCGCUUCACUCCUCGAAGUGGUGAUACUCGAAGAUAAACUCUGUCUCCGACUUCGUGAACUGUCUCCUUACGUUUUGAAUCCGCAUAACUCUUCUGCCUGGACUGGGCUACCUUGAGCCUAUCGCGAAUCAACCUCACUUUCUGUUCAGACUCUUUAAUCAAAUUUGGUCCAAACAACUGACGGUCCCCAACUUCGUCCCAUAACAAUGGUGUUCUACACCUCCUUCCGUACAGAGCUUCGAAAGGGGCCAUCUUCAAACUGGCUUGAUAGCUGUUGUUGUAAGAAAACUCUGCAUAUGGCAAAUUUUCGUCCCAACUAGAUCCAUAAUCCAGCGCACAAGCUCUCAACAUGUCUUCCAAAAUCUGAUUGACUCUCUCGGUCUGUCCAUCUGUCUGUGGGUGAAAAGCUGUACUGAAUUCUAGCCUGGUUCCCAAGGUUUCAUGUAACUGAUUCCAAAACUUUGAGGUAAACUGGGUUCCCCUAUAUGAUACAAUGGUCCUCAGAACUCCAUGCAAACAUACGAUUCUGGUCAUGUAUAUUUUUGCCAACUUAGCACUGGUGUAAGUGGUCUUCACUGGGAUGAAAUGAGCUACUUUCGUCAAACGGUUGACUACAACCCAUAUUGAGUCAUAGCCUGAACGAGUCCUGGGCAAUCCCGUGAUAAAAUCCAUGCCUAGUUUAUCCCACUUCCAUUCGGGUAUCGGCAAUGGUUGUAGCAAUCCCGCUGGCUUCUGAUGUUCUGCCUUCACUCUCUGACAUACAUCACAAACUGCUACAUACUCCGCAAUAUCCUUCUUCAUACCGGUCCACCAGAAAGUAUCCUUCAAAUCCAAAUACAUCUUGGUGUUUCCUGGGUGAAUCGAGUACGGUGAAUCAUGGGCCUCUUGCAAGAUCAAUUUCCUGAUCUCCGGAUCAUUGGGCACGUAAACGCGGUCCUCAAACCAUAAGGUAUCGUGCUCAUCCUCAUGAAAUCCCUUGGCUUUUCCUUUGUUCAUCUUUUCCUUUAUCUCGUUAAUUUCCUUGUCUGUCUCUGAGCUUCUCUGAUCUUUUCCAUCAGGGUAGACUGAAUCUCCAAUGUUGCUAAAUAGCCUCUUGGAACUAUCUCCAAACAUAGCUCGCGAAGAUCCUCGGCUAACUCCUGGGGUAACUCUCCUAUCAUGAGUGUGUUGACAUGGCUCUUGCGGCUCAACGCAUCUGCUACUUCGUUGGCCUUCCCUGGGUGAUAAUGCAAUCUCAUAUGGUAGUCCUUAAUAAGCUCCAACCAUCUCCUCUGCCUGAGAUUCAACUCCUUCUGUGUGAAAAUGUACUUCAAACUCUUGUGAUCCGUCUACACCUCACAAUGGUUUCCGAUUAGAAAAUGUCUCCAUGUCUUCAGCGCAUGCACUACGGCUGCUAAUUCCAAAUCAUGCGUGGCAUAAUUCUUCUCAUGGGGUUUAAGUUGUCGUGAAGCAUAUGACACAACUCUUCCUUCCUGCAUAAGCACUGCUCCAAGUCCUCGACGAGAAGCGUCACAAUAAACUUCAUAAUCCUUGCGUUGAUCUGGCAGAAUCAACACUGGUGAUGUAACCAAUCGUUUCUUCAACUCUUGGAAACUAGCUUCACAUUCCUCAGUCCAAUAGAAUUUGGUGUCCUUCUUCAAUAGCUAAGUCAUGGGUUUUGCAAUCUUUGAGAAAUUCUCACUGAAUCUCCGGUAGUAUCCUGCGAGUCCAAGGAAACUCCGGAUCUCUCCAACUGACGUGGGUGAUUCCCAACUUGUUACUGUGUCAACUUUGGCGGGGUCUACUGCUAUUCCUUCUCUGGAUAUAACAUGUCCGAGGAAUCCAACUUCCUUCAGCCAAAACUCACAUUUGCUGAACUUGGCGUACAACUGGUGUUCUCUGAGUUUCUCAAGUACCAAACGCAAAUGCUCCUUAUGUUCCUCUUCAUUCUUUGAGUAGAUCAAAAUAUCAUCAAUGAACACUACGACAAACUUAUCCAAAAACUCCAUAAACACCUUGUUCAUCAAGUUCAUCAAAUAGGCAGGUGCGUUAGUCAGACCAAAUGACAUAACGGUAUACUCAUACAGCCCAUACCUGGUGGUAAAAGCCGUCUUAGGUAUAUCCUGCUCUCGAAUCUUCAACUGGUGGUAUCCUGAUCGUAGAUCGAUCUUGGAAAAUACCUUAGCUCCUUGUAGGCGGUCAAACAAAUCAUUAAUCAUUGGCAGUGGGUACUUGUUCUUGAUGGUCACUUCAUUCAAUCCACGAUAAUCAACGACCAUCCUUAACGAUCCAUCCUUCUUCUCCACUAGAAGUACAGGCGAUCCCCAAGGUGACGAACUUGGGCGAAUAUAGCCUUUAUCCAGUAACUCCUUAAUCUGCUUCUUAAUUUCCACCAAAUCUUUUGCGGGCAUCCUCUACGGUCUCUUAGAUAUCGGUCCUGUGCCUGGCAAAAGUUCAAUCGGAAACUCAAUGUCUCUAUCCGGUGGCAUGCCUGGCAACUCUCCUGGAAAUACAUCCGGGUAAUCCUUCACCACUGGUACUUCCUUCUGUACAACUCCUGAUAAGGAAUUCACUUGAGUCCUCUUCGGCACAUGCCGGGAUACAUACUUAAUCCUCCUUCCUUCUGGGGUGGUAAGAAAAAUCGACUUACUGGCACAAUCGAUGUUCCCUCCAUACUUUGAUAACCAAUCCAUGCCUAAUAUCACAUCCAAUCCUUGCGAUUCCAGUAUUAUUAGGUCUGAGGGAAACACGUAGUUACCAAUCCUUAAUGGUAACCGAUCACACCAUAAACUAGCCAUAUACUCUGCUCCUGACGAGGUUACUAACAUGGGUGACCUAAGGGCUUGGGUUGGCAGUUUAUAGUUAUCCACAAAUCCCCUUGAUAUGUAUGUAUGCGAUGCACCAGUAUCAAAAAGAACGAGUGCAGUAAAUGACUUAACCAAAAACUUACCUAUUACUGCAUCAGGCUGUGCUUCAACCUCUUCCAUGCUAACGUGGUUCACAUGUCCUUUGCUGAAAGGGUUCGGCUUCUUCCCAGAGCUUCCAUUUCCAUUACCAUUCUGGGCUUCAGGACAUUCAUUGGCAUAAUGUCCAGUCUUCUGACAUUUAAAGCAAGUGACUUGACUCAGGUCUCUCUUAGCUGGGGUUGAAGGGUUGGUACGGUUCUGUCCGUUGCUUCCUCCGUUCCCAUUUCCAUUCUUGGAGCCAUUAUGAUUGUGCGAACUACCUCCUCCAUGGGUAUGCUGAAACUGUCCUCCCGAUUUCGGGGUAAAACGUGGCUUCUGCUGGGCUCCAAAAUUAUACUUCCCUUGUCCAUACUUCCUCUUACGGUUUUCAAUCUGCUGCUGCUUCCCUUCAAUCAUGAGUGCUCUAUCUACCAACUCCUGGUAGUUGUUGAAGGUUGCUACCAUUAGCUGCAUGCUCAGCUCAUCAUUCAGUCCUUCCAAAAACUUCUCCUGCUUGGCUGCAUCUGUAGCAACGUUAUCUGGGGCAUAACGUGCUAACUUACUGAAAUCCUCCACAUACUGGCCUACGGUGCGUCCUCCUUGGCGUAGGUUGCGAAACUCACGCUUCUUCAUAGCCAUAGCUCCUGCUGAAACAUGGGCUGUACGGAAAGCUUGCUGAAACUGGUCCCGUGUGACAGUGUCAAUAGGGUGAGUGGCUGUGUAAUUUUCCCACCAUGAUGCUGCGGGUCCAUCAAGCUGAUGUGCGGCAAAAAGCACUCUUUCCGCAUCUGUGCAUCCUGCAGUGGUCAACUCCCUUCCAACUUUGCGGAGCCAAUCAUCUGCAACAAUCGGCUCGGUGCUGAUGGCAAACACCGGCGGAUUUAGCCUCAAGAAACGGGCUAGGUGAUCAACAGGUGGUGGUGGUCGGUUGUUGUUGUUGUUGUUGCCUUGUUUCUGUACUAACACUUGCAUCAGGGCAUUCUGUUGCUGAAUCAACUGUGUGAUCUCCGGUGGGAAAACAAAUCCGGUGUCGCGUCUCGGAGGCAUCUGAUAGGUAUAGAAAAGAUGAGAAUUUAGAAUAGAAUGAGGUCUAGAGAGAAAACAUUACCCAUAUGCUCAUGAGACAAACACAAUCAAUAUCACUCAAUCAAUUCAAACAAGGCAUACAAUCGAUCUAACUAGCGUUACAAAAGGGCUCAAACUAUACUAUAUAUAUGGGGGAAUACUACUACUAAUAUGGUGGUCUACUAGAAAUUUUGAUCAGUCGAAGACUCCAUGAUAUCUGCUCCAGCUUCAUCAACAAAGUCAUCUUCACUGGGGUUCGAGUCGGUGUUGUCGAUGAUGAUGUAGUUAUCCGGGCAAGCGCAUUCAUCAUCUUCUGCUUUUGAUACUGGAUUUCCCAUGAAUACUCCAAUCUUCUUCUCCAGGUCGUCAUUCUUCCCUACUAGUGCGACGAUUUCCUCCAAAUAAUCCUCGCGUGUAGCCUUGAGUUCUUCCUCCAACUCCUUGAUCUUCAUCAAUGCCUUAUUCAGAUCUAUCUUGUCUUAGCACAUCUGGUUCUCCUGGCGACGAAUGUGUUGGUUUUGCUCCUGGAUGAAAGCUGCAAUUGAUCCAUCCUUCUUGGUGCUAAUCAUCUCCCAUUGCUCGUCUCGGCGUCCACAAAUCUGAUAAAUAGUAUCCUUAAGCUCCCUUUGGUAGACUUCUCCAAUGCAUCCCAUAGAGAUGUGGGCUGCCAUGCUCUUCCCUAAACUCCAGGUUGGUGCUUCAAAAGACAACUUUAUAGGCUCAGUGACUAGCAUAAACGUCCUUCCUGGAACUUGAACUUGAAUCUUCCAGCUCUCCUCUUCAGGUAAUGUGGCGUUGUAGGUUUCGGUGAUGCUUGGUAUUCCAAUGUUCAAGUACUUAGUGACUUCCUUCAAGUGUCGUCCAAAAGGCGUAUCUUCAUCCGGUUGCAUGAACUUGUUCCUUGCAUCCGCCAUUCCUAAAAGAGUAGAAAGUGGACAGGAGUCAGAAAUGAGAAGAGAGUAGUGUUCUAGGGUUUAAGCUUAGUGGUCGUGUCCUACAGUCAGCGUGUACUCUGAUACCACCUUUGUAGCGACCAGAUCUCAAACAGUUUGUGCUGCUGUGCACCAGUGUCAUCCCUGGAUCAGUAAUGCUGACACGCACAGUACAAAUGGAGGAUUUAUAACAGAGUAGCAAUCACACACUUAUUACAGCGAAUAUCUCAAAGGAGAAUAAGUAUGAUAUAUAUGGCUUAAGGCCAUCUAAUACGAUAACAGCGGAAGGCUUGGAAGAUAAGUGAGUCCAUCAACUCCAACGGCAUCACUGAGUAUAAGACCACGACCUAAGGCACCUUACUCGUCGUCUGAAAAGUCUGCAACAUGAAACGUUGCAGCCCAAAAACGGGUCAGCACAUGGAAUAUGCUGGCAAUGUAACACAUAGAGAGUAAUGAACAGAAUGAUAAUAUACUACAUGCAUAUAUGGCUGGUAGAAAGCUCUAUGGUUACAGUUUUGCGAAAAGCCAAUUUUUCCCUACUUCAAAGGAAUAAAUUUUAUUUAACUAUCAUGGUGGUUGUUAAACAUUGAGAUGGUUGACAGCAUCUCAAUCCCAAUUAAGUAUCAUCAUUAACCCAACAAAAUUAAUUAAAGUAACAUGGUGAUGAGAUUCAUAUGAUAAUCCAAGUACUAGAUACUCAAGUUGUCCAUAACCGGGGACACGGCUAACCAUGAGUAGUUUAUACACUCUGCAGAGGUUUGUGCACUUUUCCCACAAGACUCGAUCGCCUCCGCUGGAUUCUCGCACUACAUGAUGUUUGAAAAACGGAUGAUCGAGACAUAGUCUUUCAGAAGCGUUUGCACCUUACGAUGUGAUAGACCGUACCACCUACAUCCCCUACAUCUGCUAGUCUACCACUGUAAGAGUUCACACAACUUAAUCAACUAUGCUAGAGCCCAUAAUAGCAUGUGGAUGCACACGGAAGUUGCUAGCAUGAAUAAUCUCAUGAUCCCUUUGAACCUUGGUGGCGGUCCAAAAGAAAAACAGGCAAUCCUGGAAUACCCAGGUACCUCAAUCCACCCAGAUGUGAGUUUUAGUUGCCACCUUAAGUAAACCAUUAAAUAAAAAUCUCACAUCAGUCAUGAAUAUCUCUCAAACCCAAUCCACGUCUACAAGCAUAACAUGGCAAUAUAAGCAACGUAGAAGUAACUCCCAAGGGUUUGAUAAUAAAACAGGUAAUAGGUACUACCUCAAAUACUUCCCAAUACCCACAAUUUAAUUAGAUCCUAACCAAUGCAAUGUUUGAGGAUUGAUCUAAUGCAAUAAAACUGGGUAGUGAAAAGUAUGAUCAAAGUGUUACUUGCCUUGCUGGUGAUCCGUGAAACCUAGAGAUUUGAAGUAGCAAGCGGCGCACUCCGGGUACUCUAUCGCGAACAAACAAGAAAACAAUAAGUACUCAUCUAAUGCACAAGUAAAACUCAAAUAAAGAUCUAACCAGAAAGUUCAACUUAAGAAUUCCGGCUUGCAAAAAGAUUCAACUCAAACGAAGCAACGAAGGUCAAACGGCGAAAGAAACAAGCUUCAUUUACUAAUCUAGAUCUAAGUCAAAUUUUACAGUAGCAAAAACUUGUUUGAGUAGGUUAAACAGAAAGAGAAUUUCGAGAUGAAACUCUAGGCGCUUGAAUCACCUGAUUCCGAUAAACGAGCGAAAAGUUAAACCAGAACGAAAAUCUGAUCAAAAAUCGUGAUCUGGAAUAAUCGCGGAAAAUCCGACGAAAAAGAAAAAUGACGAACAGUUAAACGAACGGACGUUCGUUA
rnacentral:lncRNA from 1 species